GAUGAAGAACGUAGCGAAAUGCGAUAAGUAAUGUGAAUUGCAGAAUUCAGUGAAUCAUCGAAUCUUUGAACGCACAUUGCGCCCGGUAGUAAUCUGCCGGACAUGCCUGUCCGAGCGUCAUUUCAACCCUCGAACCACUAUUCGCGUAGCUGGAUCGGUGUUGGGGCACUACGGUGGAAUACCCGUAGGCCCCGAAAUGAAGUGGCGGUCCCGCCGCGGCGCCCCCAUGCGUAGUAACAUCUCGUCUCGCAUCGGGUCCCGGCGGAGGCCUGCCGUCAAGCCUAUUUUCUAAUUACAGAUGGUUUGACCUCGGAUCAGGUAGGGUUACCCGCUGAACUUAAGCAUAUCAAUAAGCGGAGGA
rnacentral:misc_RNA from 1 species